rnacentral:rRNA from 1 species
AGUGAACGCUGGCGGUAGGCCUAACACAUGCAAGUCGAACGGCAGCACAGUAAGAGCUUGCUCUUACGGGUGGCGAGUGGCGGACGGGUGAGGAAUACUUCGGAAUCUACUUUUUCGUGGGGGAUAACGUAGGGAAACUUACGCUAAUACCGCAUACGACCUACGGGUGAAAGCAGGGGAUCUUCGGACCUUGCGCGAUUGAAUGAGCCGAUGUCGGAUUAGCUAGUUGGCGGGGUAAAGGCCCACCAAGGCGACGAUCCGUAGCUGGUCUGAGAGGAUGAUCAGCCACACUGGAACUGAGACACGGUCCAGACUCCUACGGGAGGCAGCAGUGGGGAAUAUUGGACAAUGGGCGCAAGCCUGAUCCAGCCAUACCGCGUGGGUGAAGAAGGCCUUCGGGUUGUAAAGCCCUUUUGUUGGGAAAGAAAAGCAGCAGGUUAAUACCCCGCUGUUCUGACGGUACCCAAAGAAUAAGCACGGGCUAACUUCGUG